rnacentral:rRNA from 1 species
AACGAACGCUGGCGGCAGGCUUAACACAUGCAAGUCGAGCGCCCCGCAAGGGGAGCGGCAGACGGGUGAGUAACGCGUGGAAUCUACCUAUCACUACGGAACAACUCCGGGAAACUGGAGCUAAUACCGUAUACGUCCGAGAGGAGAAAGAUUUAUCGGUGAUAGAUGAGCCCGCGUUGGAUUAGCUAGUUGGUGGGGUAAUGGCCUACCAAGGCGACGAUCCAUAGCUGGUCUGAGAGGAUGAUCAGCCACACUGGGACUGAGACACGGCCCAGACUCCUACGGGAGGCAGCAGUGGGGAAUAUUGGACAAUGGGCGAAAGCCUGAUCCAGCCAUGCCGCGUGAGUGAUGAAGGCCUUAGGGUUGUAAAGCUCUUUCACCGGUGAAGAUAAUGACGGUAACCGGAGAAGAAGACCCCGGCUAACUUCGUGCCAGCAGCCGCGGUAAU